UACGGAGGAUGCGAGCGUUAUCCGGAUUUAUUGGGUUUAAAGGGUGCGCAGGCGGGAGAUUAAGUCGGCGGUGAAAUUUUGCAGCUCAACUGUAAAAGUGCCUUCGAAACUGGUUUCCUUGAGUGUAGAUGAAGUAGGCGGAAUUCCUAGUGUAGCGGUGAAAUGCGUAGAUAUCACGAGGAACUCCGAUUGCGCAGGCAGCUUACUAAACUACUACUGACGCUCAUGCACGAAGGCGUGGGGAUCAAACAGGAUUAGAUACCCGGGUAGU
rnacentral:rRNA from 1 species